CGCGUAGGCGGCUUUGUAAGUCACUUGUGAAAUCUCUGAGCUUAACUCAGAACGGCCAAGUGAUACUGCAAUGCUAGAGUAUUGGAGGGGCAAUCGGAAUUCUUGGUGUAGCGGUGAAAUGCGUAGAUAUCAAGAGGAACACCUGAGGUGAAGACGGGUUGCUGGCCAAAUACUGACGCUGAGGCGCGAAAGCCAGGGAGCAAACG
rnacentral:rRNA from 1 species